rnacentral:rRNA from 1 species
ACCAGGUCUUGACAUCCCGAUGCUAUUUCUAGAGAUAGAAAGUUACUUCGGUACAUCGGUGACAGGUGGUGCAUGGUUGUCGUCAGCUCGUGUCGUGAGAUGUUGGGUUAAGUCCCGCAACGAGCGCAACCCCUAUUGUUAGUUGCCAUCAUUCAGUUUGGGCACUCUAGCGAGACUGCCGGUAAUAAACCGGAGGAAGUGGGAUGACGUCAAAUCAUCAUGCCCCUUAUGACCUGGGCUACACACGUGCUACAAUGGUUGGUACAACGAGUUGCGAGUCGGUGACGGCGAGCUAAUCUCUUAAAGCCAAUCUCAGUUCGGAUUGUAGGCUGCAACUCGCCUACAUGAAGUCGGAAUCGCUAGUAAUCGCGGAUCAGCACGCCGCGGUGAAUACGUUCCCGGGCCUU